UCCCCCGUGAGGGGGCAGUCUCGCCUGACAUAUAAAACAGGCAACGCGGGUUGCGUUCGUUACCCCACUGAAGGGAACAACUCAAGCCACGAACUGACGACGACCAUGCAUCACCUGCCCAACUGUCUUGCGACGGCAGAAGUUUCCUAAUGCCUUCAGUUGAGUUUCAAACCCUGGUGAGGUUCUUCGUUUGCCAUCGAAUUGAGCCGCAUGAUCCACCGCUUGUGCAAGUCCCCGUCUAUUCCUUUGAGUUUUAAUCUUGCGAUCGUACUACCCAGGCGCCGAACUUAACGCGUUAGCUACGUCUCGAAGAGGGUCGAUACUCCUCAAAACUAGUUCGGAUCGUUUAGGGCGUGGACUAC
rnacentral:misc_RNA from 1 species